rnacentral:misc_RNA from 1 species
UUUUUCCAGGGAUCUCUGAUCUCGGCAGCGAAUCUGCCCCAUGGUCUUCUCCGGACUCCCCUGUAUCUGGGUUCUGUCCCCUUUUGAGGUGCAGAUCCGUUUGUUUCCGCCACUUGUUUGGUUGUGGCAGCGGUGGCGGCGGCGGCGGCGGCUCUACCUCUCCUCAUACGGAUUUUUAAAGAAGAAAGAAGGAAAACAAAAAGCAGAGGUGGAUUGUGAGGAAAAGGGAAAGAAAGCCCACAAUCAACACCAAAUCAGCUAAUCAGAAUCAAUAACUCAUACUGGAAAGAACCCUUUGCAAGAAGGAUUAAAGAUUGCAAAUAAGAGAGGUAGAAGAAAUGGAGGCAGAGAAGAGGGGAGAGAACAGAACUUUUGGGUUUGAGGUAGAGAGGAGGGAACAGGUGGGUGAGGAACUCCUCUUCUCCUACACAAUAUUUAUUUGUUAAUUAUUGGUUGUUUUCAAAGCAUUUUGAUUUUGCUUCAUAGAAGGAACAUGGAAGAAAUUUGGAAUGUGAG